rnacentral:rRNA from 1 species
UACGGAGGGUGCAAGCGUUGUUCGGAUUUACUGGGCGUAAAGGGCGUGUAGGCGGUUGGCUAAGUCAGAUGUGAAAUCCCUUAGCUUAACUAAGGAACGGCAUUUGAAACUAGCUAACUAGAGUACAGGAGAGGAAAGUGGAAUUCCCAGUGUAGAGGUGAAAUUCAUAGAUAUUGGGAGGAACACCGGUAGCGAAGGCGGCUUUCUGGCCUGAUACUGACGCUGAGACGCGAAAGCGUGGGUAGCAAACAGG